AUGCACGCUGGCGGCGUGCCUCAUACCUGCCAGUCGCGCGAACAGACGAGGAGCUUGCUCCUCUGACGUUAGCGGCGGACGGGUGAGUAACACGUGGAUAACCUACCUAUAAGACUGGGAUAACUUCGGGAAACCGGAGCUAAUACCGGAUAAUAUAUUGAACCGCAUGGUUCAAUAGUGAAAUACGGUUUUGCUGUCACUUAUAGAUGGAUCCGCGCCGCAUUAGCUAGUUGGUAAGGUAACGGCUUACCAAGGCAACGAUGCGUAGCCGACCUGAGAGGGUGAUCGGCCACACUGGAACUGAGACACGGUCCAGACUCCUACGGGAGGCAGCAGUAGGGAAUCUUCCGCAAUGGGCGAAAGCCUGACGGAGCAACGCCGCGUGAGUGAUGAAGGUCUUCGGAUCGUAAAACUCUGUUAUUAGGGAAGAACAAAUGUGUAAGUAACUAUGCACGUCUUGACGGUACCUAAUCAGAAAGCCACGGCUAACUACGUG
rnacentral:rRNA from 1 species